rnacentral:rRNA from 1 species
GAUGAGCGCUGGCGGCGUGCCUAAUACAUGCAAGUCGAGCGAACGGACGAGAAGCUUGCUUCUCUGAUGUUAGCGGCGGACGGGUGAGUAACACGUGGAUAACCUACCUAUAAGUCUGGGAUAACUUCGGGAAACCGUAGCUAAUACCGGAUAAUAUUUUGAACCGCAUGGUUCAAAAGUGAAAGACGGUCUUGCUGUCACGUAUAGAUGGAUCCGCGCUGCAUUAGCUAGUUGGUAAGGUAACGGCUUACCAAGGCAACGAUGCAUAGCCGACCUGAGAGGGUGAUCGGCCACACUGGAACGGAGACACGGUCCAGACUCCUACGGGAGGCAGCAGUAGGGAAUCUUCCGCAAAGGGCGAAAGCCUGACGGAGCAACGCCGCGUGAGUGAUGAAGGUCUUCGGAUCGUAAAACUCUGUUAUUAGGGAAGAACAUAUGUGUAAGUAACUGUGCACAUCUUGACGGUACCUAAUCAGAAAGCCACGGCUAACUACGUG